UGCUUUGCUUCCUUCGUGCCAUGAGCGUGCCAGUUAUUCUGUGAUGAUUCUGUGUGCAGAUAAUCAACAGUGUGGCACCAGCGCUGUUUAGUCAGCAAGUGUGCCCCAAGGUAGCAUCCUUGGCCCGAUACUUUUCCUGUAUUACAUCAAUGAUAUUGUACAAAUAAGUGAUAUGUGUAAAUAUGUCGCAUAUGCAGAUGACUGCUCUGUUUUCUUUACAGGUAAAGAUUUAAAAGAAAUAACGCCUACAGCAGGCUCCGUUUGUUAUGGACUUUGAGCACGGUCUAAGGCAAACGGCCUCAUCCUCAAUGAAACCAAAACAAGAUGCGUUAUUUUUCAUGCUCCCGGAAGUUCUACUGCAUUGCCAGAUAAUAUUGUUUUCGGUCCGUAUAAAAUUACCAUUACAUCAUCCAUAAAAACCCUAGGCGUAAUAUUGACAGUGCAGAUGUCCUGGAAUGAACACGUUAGUCAUGUUUGCUCAAAGGUUCGAAAAGUUGUUGGUGUGUUAAAUCGAAAUCAAAGUGCACUACCUUUUAAAGUUAAGCGUCUCAUUUAUCAUGCUCUUUUCCAUUCACACCUCAGUUACUGUUCACUUAUAUGGGGUAACACUACAGCGCAAAAUAUUCAAAUGCUGGAAAUACUUCAAAAGAGAGCGAUUCGGGCGAUAGCGAACAUUUCUUUUUUCGAACAUAUGCAAUUAAGAGCUUUUCCAACAAAACGGAAUAAUCAGAGCUCAUGACAUAUAUAAAUUCAAAACAUUACUAAGCUAUAGAAAUGCUAUGCUCGGAAAACUCGAUUCAUUCCUAACCCUGGCAACUUUACAAAAAAAUAGAAGUACAUAUUCAUAUCGUCGCCAGGCACCAUGGCAGAUCCCUUCUCACGCACUAAUUAUAGGCUGUCAACGCCUUAAACAUACACUACCUUCCAUGCUUAACUAUUUCAACCAACAAAAUGUUGAUGUGUUAUCUCUAAACAAAACUAAAAUAUUGGAUUUGUUCUUAUAGAUGUGUAUUGUUAACUGCUCUAACUGUUCUGCAGAACUUAUGAUGUACUCUCGUUGUGUUUAUGCGUUCACACUUGUAACUAUGAUUCCUAGAAUCCAGGUUUUCCGCUGCAGUGAUUGUGCCCUGACUGCGUGGCAGGGUUUGCGUUGUGAACUCGAUGCUGCAGAGGGUGCCUUCGUGUUCCUAAAAUUCGAGGAUGUGAUGACGCCCUGGGCUACGUUGCUGAGGUGUCGUCGUGAAAGCAGCAGCCUAUAUGCAGAUUUUCUUUCUCUAUCUUUCUUUAAACAUAGAUGCACAUAUAUAUUUGCAAGUGUGUAAAGUAUUUUCUAAAAGAAGAACGUUUCCUGUUGGUAACUUGUGUUUAUUGUACACUUUUGUGAAAUUUGUUAUAUUUAUGUGUAUAUGUGUGUGUAUAUAUAUAUGUACAUACAUUGCUUUUGCAUUCUUAUGAUAUAUGCGAUUGAGUCUGUGUCAAUUAAUAAUAUGCAAGAUAACAGAUUGUAAUCGUAUGCUGGGAGUUAUUUUACACAACUGUGUUAUAACUCGUUUAUACGUAAUAACAUGAAAGCAUCUACAUGUACUUAUGCUUAAAAUACUCUUAUAUCCACACUUUAUGCCUGAUUGUAUUGAUGCACCAGCCGCUACCAUGCCUGUCUGGGAGACCGGAGGUUUGUCAAGCCGAAAAAAUUUCGGCUUUUUUUCUGGCUCUCCCUUUUUCACCUUGUAUCCAGUGGUGAAAAUAAAAAUCAUGAUGAUGAUGAUGA